UUCUAAUGAAACGAGGAGAUGGAUAUCGAUGGCGGUGACGCCUGAGCUUCUCCAUACGCCAUCUUCCAUCUAAACACACACUUCAUUUUUAUUCAGACCCAGAAUCUGAAACUGAGGCUGCUUCUUAUUCUUCGAUUACUUGCCACUUUGAGGUCCUUUUGUAACUCAUGAUUUAAUUGAGUGUGCGGCAUGUCACGAAAGUGAAUGAGCAAGCGCAGUGGAGAGAGACAGAUCAAGCGGUGGAGAGCGACAGAUCAAGCGGCGGAGUGCGAUGGAUUGCUGGCGGCGGAACAAGCGGCGUUGAGCUGAUGGAGCAAGUCACGGAGAGAGCGAGAUGGAAAUCCUUGGAACAAACGACAGAGAGUGUGACAAGAGAUAGCAAAGAUAAUUGAUGCAGUUCAAGCUGUCACAGGGAAGGUCAAUAGGCUCUCGGACAGGAUAGGUUCUUGCUUUCGAAGUUUCUGUAUAUGGAGGGGUGAAGGUUUCGGGAAUCAAACCAAAUUCGAGAGCAGAAUUUACGAAAAUCUUAUAGGAGUUCAAAUUAUGGCUUAGUAGCCUCACAGAAGAUAAAAAGCAUGCCGCAACAGUUUUUUUGUACUAUAAAAUGACGAAGUGAACUCCUAUAAGAUGCUUCUCAAUCUGAUCAUCUCGCCAACAUCACAAAGCUUGAUGAUACUUGGUCACUUCACUGAGUUUUAGAAGCUGCUGCACAGAAAAGCUGAAGCAUUCCUUUCAAAUGACUACUAUGACUCUAUGAGUCACACCUUGCAUGGAUGGACUUGGCUUCAUUUGAAGCUUUCAUCGAGAUGAUAAAGCCACAGCUGAUCUGAAACUCUUUUGGUGACAAUCUAAAGUUAUUGGAAAACAAUCUCCCGCUUGACAGUGUAUACAAAUCAAAAGAUGUGCUGUUACUCCUAUUCGUGUCUUUCAGUGACAAGAACUGGUUGUUUGUCGGAUUUCACUGAGAAUAAACAAAGAUUUGAGAGCAGAAGGUCAAACUGAAGAUUAGCAGCUGCGUAAGAGCCAUGGGAGUCUUCAGAACACUGGUGGAAAAGGUUACCAUCUCACUCUAUCAUUCGUGAUUAAAAAUAAUUUCUUGAAUGGAAAAGGAGAAGAUGCUGUCGUCGUUGGUAAUGUUUAGGUAGAUUUGGCCGUAUGUUUCAUUUAUUUUUUACUACAGGACAGAUCAAUAUAUAUUCAUGACUUAAUUAAGAUGAACUUGAGUACUGCGAACUUGAGGACGCAUGCAUAGCUGCAUAUCCAUGUUUUUAGCCAGAUAGUUCAGCUUUAAACCUUUCUGGAACUUGGUCGUUUUAAUGGGAGUCUUCAGAACACUGGUGGAAAAGGUUACCAUCUCACUCUGCCAUUCGUGAUUAAAAAUAAUUUCUUGAAUGGAAAAGGAGAAGAUGCUGUCAUUGUUGGUAAUGUUUAGGUAGAUUUGGCCGUAUGUUUCAUUUAUUUUUUACUACAGGACAGAUCAAUAUAUAUUCAUGACUUAAUUAAGAUGAACUUGAGUACUGCGAACUUGAGGACGCAUGCAUAGCUGCAUAUCCAUGUUUUUAGCCAGAUAGUUCAGUUUUAAACCUUUCUGGAACUUGGUCGUUUUAAUGUUUUAGUCACUACACCAAUAUCGCUCUUUCGUAUACAUUAACGUAAGAACAUCGUUAAUUUCUAA